UAUUAGCUAAACUGAUGAACCGAUUUGAUGUACGAAGUUACCUCGUGAGCUGAAAGUUUGUGAGGCAUAUAUUCCGCCCAGGCGAGCCAAUC